rnacentral:rRNA from 1 species
GACAGAGGAUGCAAGCGUUAUCCGGAAUGAUUGGGCGUAAAGCGUCUGUAGGUGGCUUUUUAAGUCCGCCGUCAAAUCCCAGGGCUCAACCCUGGACAGGCGGUGGAAACUACCAAGCUGGAGUACGGUAGGGGCAGAGGGAAUUUCCGGUGGGGCGGUGAAAUGCGCAGAUAUCAGGAGGAACACCGGUGGCGAAGGCGGGUCUCUGGGCCGUAACUGACGCUGAGGAGCGAAAGCAUGGGGAGCGAACAGG